UUGUCCAUGGUAAGGAAACACUCUACUUUUUCCAAAGUCGAUAUUUCAGAACGUUAGAUACAAAAAAUCCCGUAAGAUGGCAGGUCCUGUAUCUCAUCUAUGAUAUAUAUUAUGGGAUAUUAUCAAUAUAGUAUGAAAUGAGAAUAGUGCUAAUAGAACGAGAGAAAUUAUAAUUAAAUAUCAUUAUAUGAUUUUUUACACGGUCAGCAAUUCAGAAUAGAGUACAUAAUAUUUUAAAGAUAGUAGAUCUAUUUUGUAUUUUGUCUGUGGUUACAUCCAAAUAAAGUAUAGAUAUGCUAUGUAAGUGCUGCUCCCUGUACGUGAUAUGAGAACCAUGAAAUUUUUAAGGUUAACUUACUCUAAUCCUAAAAACUAAUGUGAAAUUUAUAUCGGUUAAUAAUAUGUAUAUUUAAAUAUUUUGACGAAAAUUUGUUAGAUCAAUGUUAGAUUAGGUUAGACCAGUGUUAUAUAGUGUAUAUAAUAUUUUGAUUGUUAAUGUUAAUUUUAAAAUUUUGAUUAUUAUUUGUAUUUGGUGAAUCCAGUGUAUAAAACAAUGAAUCAAAUUAAUUUUUAAUCGAAUCAUUGUGAAGAAUAGUUUAGAAUAUUGGAACGAAAAUGAUCCAGCCUUAAGAGACAAAUUAUUAACAAAAAACUGAAUUUAAGAAACGCAUAAAAAUAUAAUCGAAAUAGAUUGAAAUGUUUAAUUUGAACAUAUUAUUUCGUAAUUUUUUGUUUUGAUUUGAUACUAGCAAAUUAUUUUCAAAAAUUUUGGCGGUAAAAGUGUAGUGACACCUGGAGCAUGUUUAUUGUAGUUAUAAACUCAUUUUGGUCAAUUAUCAACAUUUGAAUUCAAAAAACGAGAACGGAAGAAAAAUAACCGCAUCUAUCAUUAUGGUGGAACUACCAAGACUUGCUUUGGAUAUUGCAGUUCCUCCUAAUGCUCUUGCUCGUCGCGGUGGUGUUACUAUUUCUGAAGAUAUUAUCUUGACAUUUCUUCAAGGAUGCUGCGAAUAGGAGUGGCUCUCGAACUUAAUGGUCAUUGCAAAUAGAAGCAACGAUACUCGAAAAUAUACAGUCAAAUAAUAAAAGAUCUUCGAAUAAUAGAAAAUAAUAUAUUAUUUGUAAAAUGAUUUUAUAUUUCAAUAAUUGAUGGUUGGUGAUUAAAGAAAGAAAAUAAUGAAAUGGAAUAGGAAUAGGAAUGAUGGAAGGGAGAAAAGAUGGAACGAGCGACAAGUUCUCCUUUCACACGGGAGAAGGUGCGCUUCAGGUGCGUGAAGUUAGGAUCGAUAUUGCAACCGACUCCCUGGGCCAUGACAUGCCCCUGCGGCAGCCAUCGGCUACACGCGAUCGUUCUAAAAUUAAAUGAUGAAAUUCGUUCCUUCCUUCUCUCUACCUAUCCUUUCCUUCUCUUUUUCCCUCUCUUUCUCCUUUUCCCUAACAAUUAUCCUCUUCAUUAACCUCAGUUUUUUCUCAGUUCUUUUUAUUUUAUAUUCGUGCGGUAUUUUGUUUCUCUUU